rnacentral:rRNA from 1 species
AGCAGUCGCCACGGUAAUACGUAGGGCGCAAGCGUUAUCCGGAAUUAUUGGGCGUAAAGAGCUCGUAGGCGGUUUGUCGCGUCUGCCGUGAAAGUCCGGGGCUCAACCCCGGAUCUGCGGUGGGUACGGGCAGACUAGAGUGAUGUAGGGGAGACUGGAAUUCCUGGUGUAGCGGUGAAAUGCGCAGAUAUCAGGAGGAACACCAAUGGCGAAGGCAGGUCUCUGGGCAUUAACUGACGCUGAGGAGCGAAAGCAUGGGGAGCGAACAGGAUUAGAUACCCCAGUAGUCCCUGUCUCUUAUAC